UACGUAGGGUGCAGGCGUUAAUCGGAAUUACUGGGCGUAAAGCGUGCGCAGGCGGUUUGCUAAGACAGGUGUGAAAUCCCCGGGCUUAACCUGGGAACUGCGCUUGUAACUGGCAAGCUAGAGUGUGGCAGAGGGGGGUGGAAUUCCGCGUGUAGCAGUGAAAUGCGUAGAGAUGCGGAGGAACACCGAUGGCGAAGGCGGUUGGCUGGGCCGUUGCUGACACUGAUGCGCGACAGCGUGGGGAGCAAACAGG
rnacentral:rRNA from 1 species